GAUGAACGCUGGCGGCGUGCCUAAUACAUGCAAGUCGAGCGAACAGACGAGGAGCUUGCUCCUCUGACGUUAGCGGCGGACGGGUGAGUAACACGUGGAUAACCUACCUAUAAGACUGGGAUAACUUCGGGAAACCGGAGCUAAUACCGGAUAAUAUAUUGAACCGCAUGGUUGAAUAGUGAAAGACGGUUUUGCUGUCACUUAUAGAUGGAUCCGCGCCGCAUUAGCUAGUUGGUAAGGUAACGGCUUACCAAGGCAACGAUGCGUAGCCGACGUGAGAGAGGGAUCGGCCACACUGGAACGGAGACACGGUCCAGACUCCUACGGGAGGCAGCAGUAGGGAAUCUUCCGCAAAGGGCGAAAGCAUGACGGAGCAACGCCGCGUGAGUGAUGAAGGUCUUCGGAUCGUAAAACUCUGUUAUUAGGGAAGAACAAAUGUGUAAGUAACUAUGCACGUCUUGACGGUACCUAAUCAGAAAGCCACGGCUAACUACGUG
rnacentral:rRNA from 1 species